AGUGAACGCUGGCGGUAGGCCUAACACAUGCAAGUCGAACGGCAGCACAGUAAGAGCUUGCUCUUACGGGUGGCGAGUGGCGGACGGGCGAGGAAUACAUCGGAAUCUACUUUUUCGUGGGGGAUAACGUAGGGAAACUUACGCUAAUACCGCAUACGACCUACGGGUGAAAGCAGGGGAUCUUCGGACCUUGCGCGAUUGAAUGAGCCGAUGUCGGAUUAGCUAGUUGGCGGGGUAAAGGCCCACCAAGGCGACGAUCCGUAGCUGGUCUGAGAGGAUGACCAGCCACACUGGAACUGAGACACGGUCCAGACUCCUACGGGAGGCAGCAGUGGGGAAUAUUGGACAAUGGGCGCAAGCCUGAUCCAGCCAUACCGCGUGGGUGAAGAAGGCCUUCGGGUUGUAAAGCCCUUUUGUUGGGAAAGAAAAGCAGCAGGUUAAUACCCCGCUGUUCUGACGGUACCCAAAGAAUAAGCACCGGCUAACUUCGUG
rnacentral:rRNA from 1 species